UACGUAGGGACCAAGCGUUGUCCGGAAUCAUUGGGCGUAAAGAGCUCGUAGGCGGCUAUCCGCGUCGGAUGUGAAAGCUCAGAGCUCAACUCUGAGAGGCCAUUCGAUACGGGAUAGCUAGAGGUAGGUAGGGGAAAGCGGAAUUCCUGGUGUAGCGGUGAAAUGCGCAGAUAUCAGGAGGAACACCGGUGGCGAAGGCGGCUUUCUGGGCCUUACCUGACGCUGAGGAGCGAAAGCUGGGGGAGCAAACAGG
rnacentral:rRNA from 1 species